UUAAUUGAAGCCAAAAAGAGGCCUAUCACUGUUAAUGAUAAAAUUGAGAUUUAUCCUCCAAUUAAA
rnacentral:tRNA from 1 species